ACCAUUCCUUUUUCCUUCAACUCCUUUAUUAUCCAUGGCUUCUUUUUAAACCUCACUUUGCUCCCUGGUAGGAGUGGAUCUUCUUUCACCUUUGGGUGAAUGGUUCUCCUUCCUUUAUUUCCAGGCACCUGCAAAACACAACAGCUGUCAAAAUAAUCAUUACCUGUUAUGCUUUCUUCUUGUUCUUCAUUCACCUCUGGCUUCUCAAAUGUUUUUCUUUUCACUGUCUUAAUCUCAUCCCCU
rnacentral:lncRNA from 1 species